rnacentral:rRNA from 1 species
UCGGGAACUCUGAGACAGGUGCUGCAUGGUUGUCGUCAGCUCGUGUUGUGAAAUGUUGGGUUAAGUCCCGCAACGAGCGCAACCCUUAUCCUUUGUUGCCAGCGGUCCGGCCGGGAACUCAAAGGAGACUGCCAGUGAUAAACUGGAGGAAGGUGGGGAUGACGUCAAGUCAUCAUGGCCCUUACGAGUAGGGCUACACACGUGCUACAAUGGCGCAUACAAAGAGAAGCGACCUCGCGAGAGCAAGCGGACCUCAUAAAGUGCGUCGUAGUCCGGAUUGGAGUCUGCAACUCGACUCCAUGAAGUCGGAAUCGCUAGUAAUCGUAGAUCAGAAUGCUACCGGUGAAUACGUUCCCGGGU